GACGAACGCUGGCGGCGUGCUUAACACAUGCAAGUCGAACGGAAAGGCCCUGCUUGCAGGGUGCUCGAGUGGCGAACGGGUGAGUAACACGUGGGUGAUCUGCCCCUUACUUUGGGAUAAGCCUGGGAAACUGGGUCUAAUACUGGAUAGGACCAUGCUGUAGGUGGUGUGGUGGAAAGAUUAGUUUCGGUAAGGGAUGAGCUCGCGGCCUAUCAGCUUGUUGGUGGGGUAAUGGCCUACCAAGGCGUCGACGGGUAGCCGGCCUGAGAGGGUGGACGGCCACAUUGGGACUGAGAUACGGCCCAGACUCCUACGGGAGGCAGCAGUGGGGAAUAUUGCACAAUGGGCGCAAGCCUGAUGCAGCGACGCCGCGUGGGGGAUGACGGCCUUCGGGUUGUAAACUCCUUUCAGCCAAGACGAAGCCCUUGUGGUGACGGUAGUGGUAGAAGAAGCACCGGCUAACUACGUG
rnacentral:rRNA from 1 species